rnacentral:sRNA from 1 species
AUUCUGCCCAUGCAGGGAAGGAUGAGAAGCUUCGACCAAGGUUCGACUCGAGCGCCAGCGAGAGAGCGUUGCCGCAGGCAACGACCCGUAGGGCGAAGCGCGCAGCGCUGAGUAAUCCUUCCCCCACCACCA